rnacentral:rRNA from 1 species
CGCGUAGGCGGCCUGGUCAGUCGGGUGUGAAAGCCCGGGGCUCAACCCCGGAACGGCACCCGAGACGGCUAGGCUGGAGACCGGGAGAGGAGGGUGGAAUAGCCAGUGUAGAGGUGAAAUUCGUAGAUAUUGGCUGGAACACCGGUGGCGAAAGCGGCUCUCUGGCCCGGUUCUGACGCUGAGGCGCGAAAGCGUGGGGAGAAC